rnacentral:rRNA from 1 species
UACAGAGGUCCCGAGCGUUGUUCGGAUUCACUGGGCGUAAAGGGUGCGUAGGUGGCAUGGUAAGUUUGAUGUGAAAGCUCAGGGCUCAACCCUGAAAUGGCAUUGAAUACUACUGUGCUGGAGGUUUGGAGGGGGGACUGGAAUUCUUGGUGUAGCAGUGAAAUGCGUAGAUAUUGGGAGGAACACCAGUGGCGAAGGCGGCUACCUGGACCGGUUCUGACGCUGAGGAGCGAAAGCGUGGGGAGCAAACAGG